rnacentral:miRNA from 1 species
UGCCUCACCUCGCCUCGCC